CCCUAGAAAGCUCCGUCGGCA
rnacentral:tRNA from 1 species